UACGUAGGGUGCAAGCGUUGUCCGGAAUUAUUGGGCGUAAAGGGUGCGUAGGUGGCGCCGUAAGUCAGGUGUGAAAUUUCGGAGCUUAACUCCGAAACUGCAUUUGAUACUGCGGUGCUUGAGGACUGGAGAGGAGGCUGGAAUUUACGGUGUAGCAGUGAAAUGCGUAGAGAUCGUAAGGAAGACCAGUGGCGAAGGCGGGUCUCUGGACAGUUCCUGACACUGAGGCACGAAGGCCAGGGGAGCAAACGGG
rnacentral:rRNA from 1 species